CGUACAGGUCUCCGUAGGUGAACCUGCGGAGGGAUCAUUACACAAAUAUGAAGGCGGGCUGGAACCUCUCGGGGUUACAGCCUUGCUGAAUUAUUCACCCUUGUCUUUUGCGUACUUCUUGUUUCCUUGGUGGGUUCGCCCACCACUAGGACAAACAUAAACCUUUUGUAAUUGCAAUCAGCGUCGGUAACAAAUUAAUAAUUACAACUUUCAACAACGGAUCUCUUGGUUCUGGCAUCGAUGAAGAACGCAGCGAAAUGCGAUAAGUAGUGUGAAUUGCAGAAUUCAGUGAAUCAUCGAAUCUUUGAACGCACAUUGCGCCCUUUGGUAUUCCAAAGGGCAUGCCUGUUCGAGCGUCAUUUGUACCCUUAAGCUUUGCUUGGUGUUGGGCGUCUUGUCUCUAGCUUUGCUGGAGACUCGCCUUAAAGUAAUUGGCAGCCGGCCUACUGGUUUCGGAGCGCAGCACAAGUCGCACUCUCUAUCAGCAAAGGUCUAGCAUCCAUUAAGCCUUUUUUUCAACUUUUGACCUCGGAUCAGGUAGGGAUACCCGCUGAACUUAAGCAUAUC
rnacentral:rRNA from 1 species